UACGAAGGGGGCUAGCGUUGUUCGGAAUUACUGGGCGUAAAGCGCGCGCAGGCGGCUAUCCAAGUCAGUGGUGAAAGCCCGGAGCUCAACUCCGGAACUGCCAUUGAAACUGUUUAGCUUGAGGACGAGAGAGGUGAGUGGAAUUCCCAGUGUAGAGGUGAAAUUCGUAGAUAUUGGGAAGAACACCGGUGGCGAAGGUGGCUCUCUGGGACGGUACUGACGCUGAGACGCGAAAGCGUGGGGAGCGAACAGG
rnacentral:rRNA from 1 species